AUGGAGGACGCUCACACGAAAUCCGUGGAAGAAGUCUUAAAAUAUUUUGGCACAGACCCAGACAAAGGCCUUAGUCCAGACCAAAUAAAAAGGAACCAAGAAAAAUAUGGACCCAAUGAACUGCCUACGGAGGAAGGCAAAAGUAUAUGGCAGUUAGUCUUGGAACAAUUCGACGACCUCUUAGUCAAGAUUUUGCUGUUAGCUGCUAUUAUUUCAUUCGUAUUAGCUUUAUUUGAAGAGCACGAAGAUGCAUUCUCAGCCUUCGUUGAACCUUUCGUUAUUUUACUAAUUCUUAUUGCUAACGCUGUAGUAGGAGUAUGGCAGGAAAGAAACGCCGAAUCUGCCAUCGAAGCUUUAAAAGAAUACGAACCUGAAAUGGGUAAAGUCAUAAGAGGAGACAAAUCUGGAGUACAAAAAAUCCGUGCCAAGGAAAUUGUCCCCGGGGACGUUGUUGAAGUGUCCGUUGGUGACAAGAUCCCUGCUGACAUUCGCCUUAUCAAAAUCUACUCCACUACAAUCCGUAUCGAUCAGUCUAUCCUGACUGGUGAAUCUGUCUCCGUAAUCAAACACACUGACCCCAUUCCUGACCCCCGCGCCGUGAACCAAGACAAGAAGAACAUCCUCUUCUCUGGUACUAAUGUCGCAGCCGGUAAAGCUCGCGGUAUUGUCAUCGGUACUGGACUCAACACUGCCAUCGGUAAGAUCCGUACUGAAAUGUCAGAAACCGAAGAAAUCAAAACUCCUCUCCAACAGAAACUUGAUGAGUUCGGUGAGCAGCUCUCUAAAGUAAUCUCAGUUAUCUGUGUCGCUGUAUGGGCCAUUAACAUCGGACACUUUAACGACCCCGCUCACGGUGGAAGUUGGAUCAAGGGCGCCGUCUACUACUUCAAAAUUGCCGUCGCUUUAGCCGUCGCUGCCAUCCCUGAAGGUCUUCCGGCCGUCAUCACCACUUGUCUCGCUUUGGGUACCAGAAGAAUGGCUAAGAAAAACGCUAUCGUAAGGUCUCUACCGUCGGUCGAAACCCUUGGCUGCACAUCCGUCAUCUGCUCCGACAAGACCGGCACACUGACCACUAACCAAAUGUCCGUAUCGCGCAUGUUCAUCUUUGAAAAGAUCGAAGGUGGUGACAGCAGCUUCCUCGAGUUUGAAAUCACUGGCUCAACUUAUGAACCAAUCGGCGACGUUUAUCUGAAAGGACAGAAAGUUAAGGCUGCCGAAUUUGAUGCUCUUCACGAGAUCGGUACCAUCUGCGUAAUGUGCAAUGACUCCGCUAUUGAUUUCAACGAAUUCAAACAGGCGUUCGAAAAGGUCGGCGAAGCUACCGAGACUGCUCUGAUUGUUCUUGCUGAAAAAAUGAAUCCCUUCAAUGUUCCUAAGACUGGCUUAGAUCGCCGAUCCUCUGCUAUUGUUGUGCGUCAAGAAAUUGAGACCAAGUGGAAGAAAGAAUUCACUCUCGAGUUCUCUCGUGACAGGAAAUCUAUGUCGACAUACUGCACACCCCUCAAACCCUCGCGCCUCGGCAACGGACCCAAACUAUUUGUCAAGGGAGCACCCGAAGGUGUACUCGAACGUUGCACACACGCUCGCGUCGGCACCAGCAAGGUUCCUCUGACCACGACCCUGAAGAACCGCAUCUUGGACCUGACCCGCCAGUACGGUACUGGUCGCGACACGCUGCGUUGCUUGGCCCUGGCCACGGCCGAUAACCCCCUCAAACCCGACGAAAUGGAUCUCGGUGACUCCACCAAAUUCUACACUUACGAAGUCAACCUUACGUUCGUCGGAGUCGUCGGCAUGUUGGACCCCCCUCGUAAAGAAGUUUUCGACUCGAUCGUUCGUUGUCGCGCUGCCGGUAUUCGCGUAAUCGUCAUCACCGGUGACAACAAGUCCACUGCCGAAGCCAUCUGCAGGCGUAUCGGUGUAUUCGGAGAGGACGAAGAUACCACUGGCAAAUCUUUCUCCGGUCGCGAGUUCGAUGACCUGCCCAUCGCCGAGCAGCGCAGCGCAUGCGCCAAGGCUCGCCUGUUCUCGCGUGUGGAGCCCGCGCACAAGUCUAAGAUCGUAGAGUACCUGCAGAGCAUGAACGAGAUCUCCGCCAUGACUGGUGACGGUGUGAAUGACGCACCGGCUCUGAAGAAGGCCGAGAUUGGUAUUGCCAUGGGAUCCGGCACGGCCGUCGCGAAGUCCGCCGCCGAGAUGGUGUUGGCCGACGACAACUUCUCCUCCAUCGUCGCUGCUGUUGAGGAAGGUCGUGCCAUUUACAACAACAUGAAGCAGUUCAUCCGCUAUCUGAUCUCAUCCAACAUCGGUGAGGUGGUCUCGAUCUUCUUGACUGCCGCUCUGGGUCUGCCCGAAGCUCUGAUCCCCGUCCAACUGCUGUGGGUGAACCUGGUCACUGACGGUCUGCCCGCUACCGCCCUCGGAUUCAAUCCUCCCGAUCUCGACAUCAUGGACAAGCCCCCUCGCAAGGCUGACGAAGGUCUCAUCUCCGGAUGGCUGUUCUUCAGAUACAUGGCUAUCGGUGGCUACGUAGGUGCGGCCACAGUCGGCGCUGCCUCCUGGUGGUUCAUGUACUCCCCGUACGGACCUCAAAUGACAUACUGGCAACUCACUCAUCACUUACAAUGUAUCAGCGGUGGUGAUGAAUUUAAGGGUGUUGACUGCAAAGUGUUCACUGACCCUCACCCGAUGACGAUGGCUCUCUCAGUGCUGGUCACAAUCGAGAUGUUAAACGCCAUGAACAGCUUGUCUGAGAACCAGUCUCUGGUCACCAUGCCGCCCUGGUCAAACUUGUGGCUCGUCGGCUCCAUGGCGCUCUCCUUCACUCUUCAUUUCGUCAUCCUCUACGUCGAGGUUCUUUCGGCCGUGUUCCAAGUGACGCCGCUGUCGCUCGACGAGUGGGUAACCGUAAUGAAGUUCUCAGUACCCGUGGUACUGCUGGAUGAAGUGCUCAAAUUCGUCGCGCGCAAGAUCUCCGAUGCGAACGAGGUGGUCAUUGACAAGUGGUAAACGACACCAUACAUAGUUCCUCACCCGCUUCUCUCUGCUACUUCUACCGCUCUCGUCUCCAGAUGUAAUAACCGAAUGGCUUUUAGUGUGUACGUCGCGUCGCGCCGUUGCGACCGUACCGUGUAUGUCGUGUCGGAGAGCGUAGCCGCCACUCCAGCGUUGAGCUCCAUCAGAGAGGACUUUAUGUUGUUCAUAAUGUGUAUAUAAUACAGUAUGUUUAGGAGGUUUAAUCGAUUUGUUAUAAUAAUAUUACGUUGUUCUAAAUAAAGACUACAUGGUGCCCGUCGACAAAAGCAGUGCGAUAGACGAUGUGUACUUAAGUUGAGAGCACUUAAUUUAAUUUAUUGUUAUUUUUUUAUUCUAUUAUAUUAUAGUUUGCUUAACUAGAGCCGAGUCUGUUUCUAUUAGUGCUGACGCCUCGACGAGCAAUAUGGUGUCUGUAAGGGAAGGAUAAUUUUUGAUGAUUGUCCAGUGUUUGGGACCUGAGUCCAAAAAUUUAAACAUACCUGUAAAUUUUAAUGUAUUAUUGUUUUGUACAAUAAAUCGUUAUAAAACGA
rnacentral:misc_RNA from 1 species